rnacentral:tRNA from 1 species
GCGCCAUUAGUCUAGUGGUAGGAUCUCGGCUUCCCAAGCCGAUGACCCGGGUUCAAUUCCCGGAUGGCGCA